rnacentral:rRNA from 1 species
UACGGAGGGGGCUAGCGUUGUUCGGAAUUACUGGGCGUAAAGCGCACGUAGGCGGCUUUGUAAGUUAGAGGUGAAAGCCCGGGGCUCAACUCCGGGAAUUGCCUUUAGACUGCAUCGCUAGAAUUGUGGAGAGGUAAGUGGAAUUCCGAGUGUAGAGGUGAAAUUCGUAGAUAUUCGGAAGAACACCAGUGGCGAAGGCGAGUCCCUGGACAAUACCUGACACUGAGGCACGGAAAGCUAGGGGAGCAAACAGG